GACGAACGCUGGCGGCGUGCCUAAUACAUGCAAGUUGAGCGCUGAAGGCUGGUACUUGUACCAACUGGAUGAGCAGCGAACGGGUGAGUAACGUGUGGGGACUCUGCCUUUGAGCGGGGGACAACAUUUGGAAACGAAUGCUAAUACCGCAUAAAAACUUUAAACACAAUUUUUAAGUUUGAAAGAUGCAAUUGCAUCACUCAAAGAUGAUCCCGGGGUGUAUUAGCUAGUUGGUGAGGUAAAGGCUCACCAAGGCGAUGAUACAUAGCCGACCUGAGAGGGGGGUCGGCCACAAUGGGAACUGGACACGGCCCAAAGUCCUGCGGGAGGCAGCAGGAGGGAAUCGGGAGCAAUGGACGAAAGUCGGACCGAGCAACGCGGCGUGAGUGAAGAAGGAUGUCGGAUCGUAAAACUCUGUUGGUAGAGAAGAACGUUGGUGAGAGUGGAAAGCUCAUCAAGUGACGGUAACUACCCAGAAAGGGACGGCUAACUACGUG
rnacentral:rRNA from 1 species